rnacentral:rRNA from 1 species
GAUGAACGCUGGCGGCGUGCCUAAUACAUGCAAGUCGAGCGAACAGACGAGGAGCUUGCUCCUCUGACGUUAGCGGCGGACGGGUGAGUAACACGUGGAUAACCUACCUAUAAGACUGGGAUAACUUCGGGAAACCGGAGCUAAUACCGGAUAAUAUAUUGAACCGCAUGGUUCAAUAGUGAAAGACGGUUUUGCUUUCACUUAUAGAUGGAUCCGCGCCGCAUUAGCUAGUUGGUAAGGUAACGGCUUACCAAGGCAACGAUGCGUAGCCGACCUGAGAGGGUGAUCGGCCACACUGGAACUGAGACACGGUCCAGACUCCUACGGGAGGCAGCAGUAGGGAAUCUUCCGCAAUGGGCGAAAGCCUGACGGAGCAACGCCGCGUGAGUGAUGAAGGUCUUCGGAUCGUAAAACUCUGUUAUUAGGGAAGAACAAAUGUCUAAGUAACUAGGCACGUCGUGACGGUACCUAAUCAGAAAGCCACGGCUAACUACGUG